rnacentral:rRNA from 1 species
GACGAUAAGACCCUAAAAGCUUUAUAAGGGUAUUUUAAGUUUUGUUGUGUAUGUAGUGGUUUAGCUGGGGUAGCUUCUUUGAGUACACCGAGGGGGUGAGAUACUCUGUAAGAGGAUAAUGGUCCUUUAUAUAAGGAUAAGCAGAGUUAGUUACUUUAGGGAUAACAGCGUAAUAAGUUCGGUGAGAUCGUAUCUAUGAAGUUGAUUGCGACCUCGAUGUUGAAUUAUAAGAUCUCUGUGGUGCAGUAAUUAUAGGAGAGGGUUUGUUCAACCUUUAAAAUUUUACAUGAUCUGAGU